rnacentral:piRNA from 1 species
AUUUCCAACUGGGGAGAAGUCUGA